AGGGGCGCGUCGGGUGUCAGCGGGCCGCACUCGCUCUGUGCCGGAGGCGUGAGUCCUCACCGGAGCCGCUCGGUCCUGCGGCCGCGCUCGGUCCGCCCUGGGCAGGCUCAGGGGUGGCGGACGAGCUGGCGAGCAGAGGGGCGGCGCCCUGACGGGCGGGGCGACCCGGAGCUGCAGAGCGGGAUGGACAGGCACUUCAUGCCGGGACAGCUAAAGCCAAGUUUACAGCAGAGCCUGGCACAGUACCCGAACCACAAGGAGAUAGCAGCUACUGUGAUUGGACACGUUCAAGUGAUACCAUGCUCCAGGGAAGGCUUCGACGUGACUCAUCACAGCACUUGGCACGGAGUAACUCAACUAACAUCUGUUGGAGGGAUGAAUAAUUUAGGGGAUCCCGAGAAGGCCACUCGGAGGCUUGGCAGCCAGGUUAGCGACUGAGAUUGUCUAGGAGAAAAACUGGUGUGCUCACGACCCAUGGGUAUAGAUACCAUCUCUACAGUGACUAUAAAAAUGGCACGCUCACUCAGGCGUUCUCCAUUGUGACAUCUGUCCUGUGUUGAUCCCAGCAACCCAGGUGUCCCGACAUCAGGCCACCGAUCUCCUGCAUUGUGUCCUCCCACCUUGUCCAUAGAAGGCCGUGUAGAUGGAGGUAAUAAUUUUGGAGCUUUAAUUGAUGCCUCUUUAGUCUCAGUCUCAGAGAUACUCGAUGAAAUGGCCACGUGGAUGACAUGACGGUGUGAGCGGAGCUGAGACACAGGUCAGCAUUCUUACCCCAGGCAGGUGAGGCUUUGUGGAUGAGCACCAAAAUGCUAUGCGGUUACCUCGGGCUGCUGGUGCUAAGAUUUAUGAUCUUCAGUGAUGUCACACAGCAUUCUAACAGCACUGCUCUGCUCAUCUUGAGACCUCGAAGCAGGAAGCAGACAGCUGGCGGGCAUCAGAUCCUAUUUCAGCUUCCAUCCACUCAAAGCCUUUAGGAAUUGGGUUCACAGCCCGUAAAACCAAGAUCUCUUCUAUGUAAAGCUGAAGGAAGCAUGGAAGUAGACUCUUUACUCUCAGUGACUCAUGGGACACUGGCCAUUUGAGAUCCAGAGGGCUCUAAGGUGACAUCAGGGACCUUUCACACUGGUGCCAGUCUUUAAAUUUACCACCGUUAUCAAGAUAUUAUCUAGUUAGUUCCUGCUCACACAAGCCUCUGACUGACCCAUGCUGAUGACACCUGUUGGUAUCAGGGUAUCAGCACUGCAGAUCAGCUCUGGACCUAGUGACAUCACAUAUCGCUGACAGGAACCCGCACAUCUAUUGCCAAGGCAACCGCCACACAUUCCCAGAAUCCACUUGGCUCACCUCCCACAUUUACCUGCAGGCGGCUAAUGUCACUAUACAAAUAAACAGGCAGAUCCCUCUGACCCCUCUCUCUACCCCCGCACCCUGCUCCUCCUUCUCCACCACCUUUGCCCUUUUCUCCUAUAAUAAACCUCUGACACAUGGAA